UUUCCGGUUGAUCCUGCCAGACCUGACUGCUAUCGGAUUGAUACUAAGCCAUGCGAGUCGUUGUAGCAAUACAAGGCAUACGGCUCAGUAACGCGUAGUCAACCUAACCUAUGGACGGGAAUAACCUCGGGAAACUGAGAAUAAUGCCCGAUAGAACAUUAUGCCUGGAAUGGUUUAUGUUCCAAAUGAUUUAUCGCCAUAGGAUGGGACUGCGGCCUAUCAGUUUGUUGGUGAGGUAAUGGCCCACCAAGACUAUUACAGGUACGGGCUCUGAGAGGAGUAGCCCGGAGAUGGGUACUGAGACACGGACCCAGGCCCUAUGGGGCGCAGCAGGCGAGAAAACUUUGCAAUGUGCGAAAGCACAACAAGGUUAAUCCGAGUGAUUUCUGCUAAAGAGAUCUUUUGUUAGUCCUAGAAACACUAACGAAUAAGGGGUGGGCAAGUUCUGGUGUCAGCCGCCGCGGUAAAACCAGCACCUCAAGUGGUCAGGAUGAUUAUUGGGCCUAAAGCAUCCGUAGCCGGCUCUGUAAGUUUUCGGUUAAAUCUGUACGCUCAACGUACAGGCUGCCGGAAAUACUGCAGAACUAGGGAGUGGGAGAGGUAGACGGUACUCGGUAGGAAGUGGUAAAAUGCUUUGAUCUAUCGAUGACCACCUGUGGCGAAGGCGGUCUACCAGAACACGUCCGACGGUGAGGGAUGAAAGCUGGGGGAGCAAACCGGAUUAGAUACCCGGGUAGUCCCAGCUGUAAACUAUGCAAACUCAGUGAUGCAUUGGCUUGUGGCCAAUGCAGUGCUGCAGGGAAGCCGUUAAGUUUGCCGCCUGGGAAGUACGUACGCAAGUAUGAAACUUAAAGGAAUUGGCGGGGGAGCACCACAAGGGGUGAAGCCUGCGGUUCAAUUGGAUUCAACGCCGGG
rnacentral:rRNA from 1 species